UGUUUUAGGGGUUCUGGAUGCAAUUGCUCUAUGAAUAUGAAGCUUCUGAGACCUUCUGGGAAAAAGGCAAUUUGGAUCAGCCCCAUGACCAUAUGGCCACGAGGCAGGAACCAUUUUGUGAACCACCGAAGAGAACUGAGCAGACUGUGCUGACCAGCCUCAGAGACCACAAAUUGGGCUGGUUCUACGGUGAGUCACUAACCUCUGGGACUCACUGUCCCCUUCGGAGGAAAGAGGACAGCCAUUGCAAAGUGUUCUCCGAGAACCUAAUCAUUAACAGUUCUACAAAAACUGUCGCUCUGUUUCUGGCAGAUUUCCAUGCUCUUUGGCACUGGAGGGGAAGAUCAGCGGGGGGCAGGCUGGUGGCAGUCUGGAGUGACUCUCAGUGGGAACCGGCUGAGCAUGUAAUUAUAUCAUGAGUCAAGCUCUCUCCAGGGAUGUAAGACGACCAGAGGAAAAUGAAAUAACAUUAUAUCCCACAUGAAUAGAGGCACUGGUAGAGAAAGCUGACUCCUGAGAAAGAAUACUCAGGCUGAGAAGUUUCCCAGCACUUAAAUGUCUCAUAACUUGUCCUUGUACCCCUUUUCUUAAAAAUGACGGGAUUCUAAGGGCACAAUUUAUGCCUUUGCCUUAAACCCAGAGGAGCAAGGGACCAGACAACAAUCCACAUGGGUAGAUAACUUUGAUAACAAACAAAAAAGCCAUUUAGCUGCAAAACUUCUUGUAUCCUUUAGCUCCAACAGAGCACUGUUUAUUCAGGAAGACAUUAGACUGACAAAUGUUGUGGUGGGAAUUAAAAAAUAUUUUUUCCUUGCUAAACCACUUCCAAAGGUAUAUUUUUAUGGAUCCAAGAAUAGCAGCCUGUUUGUCUUGCUUGUGCUGGUUCUGCCUCUUGUUUCUUUUUUGGUCAGCAUCCAAAGAAUUAGUUUUUUUGCACAGUGGCGAUGCAGUAGCUGAGGCCAAAUUAGUAUGAAUGACACUUGCUCUCAUCUACGGCCUCUGCCUGCUUCCCAGAUGAUAUAAUUAGCCAGGGGACUUUUGAUCAGUUCACCAAAGAAAAACAGUUAUGGGGCAGCCCCAGCAUGGUCUAUGUGGUCAGAGGCAUCAAAAUAGGACUGACACCCUUUUAAGAUGAUUUCCAAAAAGGGUUAUUUUGGGUAGAAGCUGCAGAAAUAAGGAAAUUCUCUGAGUGGGACAGAGUCUAUCAAUUUUGAGACUUACCUGCCCUUGGUCAUUAGCAAUAUUCCUGAAGGAAACAAGCAGUAAGGUGGAAUUUGUAGCAGAAUUUGAGAGCUCAGUGGAAUUGCCUCAAAGAGAGAGUGCAGAUUAUGGUGGAAACUGUCAUACAGUCUUGGGGAAGUCAGUCAAGAUGACCAGCUAGAGGGGCUGGCCUGGUGGCGUAGUGGUUAAAUUCACAUGUUGCACUUUGAUGGCCUGAGUUUCACCAGUUCAGAUCCCGGGCACAGAACUACACACCUUCGUCAAGCCAUGCUGUGCAGCCUCCCAUAUACAAAAUAGCAGAAGAUUGGCACAGAUGUUAACUCAGCGACAAUCUUCCUCAAGCAAAAAGAGGAAUAUUGGCAACAGAUGUUAGCUCAGGGCCAACCUUCCUCACCAAAAAAAAAAAGAGAGAUGACCAUUUAGAGUUCAGUUUCUAUUUGUUCAAUUUGAACAUUAAAGCUGUUUACUCAGGGGUGAAAUGUUGAAGUAGAAACAUUUGAAAGAGACCGUGAAUUUUGGUUUCAUAUUCACCCCUGGCAGGUGACUGUCCUUACAGGGAUUAAAGAGAAUACACCUACACAUCUCCAUCCUCAGAAAUAAAGAUAGACGCACUUUGGCA
rnacentral:lncRNA from 1 species